CCGGCUGUGAGUGCUGGGGUCUUUGGCAACUGCUUGGUGUUUGUGCGCAGCUGCGGAGCGCGGGAGGCGUGCGUCCACGAAACUGUUCUUUCAGCCUCUAGCCGUUUUACAUUUUUUUAACGCUCCCUCACGCAUACUUCUGUGCCGCUGUUUCCACCGUUUGCUCCCGUCCACACUGCUGUUCUCCCGGGGGGGCAAUGCUCAUUCAUUUCAGCCCUUGGAUUGGGCACUACUAGAAGCCGCGUUGCCAAACCAUGGUGCUGCUUCACCAACCACAAGCUCAGAGAAUAUGCAAUGCUUAACGGUGACCAUCCUUCGAGGAAAGGACGGCUACGGCUUCACCAUCUGCUCCGACUCCCCAGUGC